AUUUAGAUCUCAGAAGGAAAAUGUUAUGUCAAGAGGACAGAUUACGUGUGUGUCUUGUUCCUAUUAAUACUUUUCUUGGCAGAUUAACUAAGUGAACUUCUAUUUAACUUGGGUCUAAUAGAGUGCUAGCCAGAGCAGUGCUAGAUUAUAACAAUAACAAUUUCUUAAGUAGUCUCUAUAUGCCAGGCACUAUUUUAAGUAUUAUACAUGUUUUAGCCAUUUAAUCCUUAUAAAAAUCGACUGGAACAGUUUUUAGUUUUGCUCCCACUUUAUAAAUGUAAUGCUACAGUGGACAUCUUAUAAUGGUGAGGACUGGAACCCAUUAGUGGGUUGGUGUUCAUAACAGUGAAUAACAAAGCAGGUUUUGUAGUACACUUCUCUAAUUUUGAGAGAGUGCUAUUAAUUUUCAUAAAAUCCUCGGUAGUAUACUAUAUAAUGAUUUUGCAGUUAAUUUGUUCUCCUUUCGCUUUCUAUCAUUGCUUUUUUUAAACUUCUAAUUUGCAAUUUUUACACCUCAGUAGAGCCUGUGAAGAUGGGCUUUAUUUAUGUAUUUAUUCAACAAACCCUUCUUGGGGUCAGUUUCUGUAUUUAAUAGUAGGGAUGCAAAGACAUUGGAGCCAUGGUACCCUGUUGUCAUAGAGAUGUCACCAGGCGGGGAGGAGGACCCGUCCUCCAGGGGUCCUCUCGUGAGCUGUGACAGGGAAAGUGUCUUCUUGCACAGAGAAGACUGUGGGUGGCAGUGGGAGAAGCCACACCCAUCAGAUGACUUUGGUGCUUUCCAGCCCUGACUUAAUGUUGCCACCCAGGGCACUCAGCUGUCGGUUGUAGCACAAAGCUGCUCUUGAGUGUGGGCUUCUUGCUGCCCUCCCCUUCUCGAUGGAGGGGCUGUUGGAGAGAGACAAUGCUGUGACAGGAGUGCCACAGGCCCCUUUGAUGAGAAGGGGUGGCGACACUCAUGGCCAUGAGGGAUGCCUCUGAGGACUUGGGUUAGUCUUGUGCAUGACGGAACCAGCUCAAGUCUGCGAUGCACAAGUCAUUUCUCAUAGACAUCCGUAGCCUGGAAUGAUUGCAGAUCACAGGGUGAAGCAAAACAGUUCUCAACCAAAUCCUGCUCCAGGGACAUACAGGAUCCUACAAAAGAUGAAACAUCGGAAGAGGAGAUACUGGUGAACUGCUGAAUACUGAUGAGUUGCUGGGUUGCUUGAUAAAGUUUCUGCGCUAACUUGCACCCCAUCUUCAAGUCCCUGCAUCUUCACAGAACUGCCUCGUGUGAUCUGCAUCACAUCCUGGAAGAUGGGCCAGCGCGUGUACCACUCUCCCCUUUUACAGGUGAGGAAACUGAGGCUCAAGGGAGACCAAGACCACCCAUCUAAUUAGACUCAGAAAAUUUGAUCCUGCUCUCAGUCUGGUGGACAAACAGGUCUUACAACAAGCAGUGACAGCCCAGGCUGUGUCGAGAGCCUGACUCCUGAAGAGUGUUGUAGGUUACGGCAGCAGCAGGAGCUAAAGGCCCGCAGGCAGGGGGCGCUCAGGGGCCAGGGUUCUCUCUGCAAAAGCCGGGUGGGAGGUGAACACAGAUGUGAGACAAAAGUGAAGUCUCCUUUGCACCCUUAAAAAGGAGGUGAACAUGCAGAGGAAGAGGAAGACACGGGGCAGAGAAGUAAAUUAUCACUUGUCGGCACACUCCAAACCAUGCAGCCAUUGACAGUAAUUCGGAGCAGACCACAGCCGGAGAACGAGAAUGUGUGGUGUUAAGUGAGGAAGAGCGGAUAUUUGAUGGCCUGUAGACAAGAUUCCAGCUGAGGACGACCUAUCCCACAAAGGUCAAAGACUGAGAAGUUAUGCAGAAGCAGGAAAACAACUCUUGUGUUAGGCUGGUAGAUUUUAAAGCUUAUUUGGAAGCUUCUAUAGUUUUGCUUUAGUUGCUUACAGUACACUGCCUGGGCCGGGGAUUUAGCUCAGUGGUUCUGGCGCCUGCCUCGAAAGUACAAGUUCCUGAGUUUGAUCCCCCGUACCAAAAAAGAAAGAAUCCAACCAUACAAUAUGCUGCCUGAUUGGUCGAGCUUCUAGCAUUCUCGGGGGGCAUCCACCCUCUUCAGUCCCAGUUCCUUAAUGCGUCAUUUGCUGCCUCUUGCAGGUGCUGUGCUUGUUUGCAACUUGUCACCAACUCCUCGACAGCCUCACCCACUGCUAGAGACAAACACGCUCCCCCUUGUUCUCAGAAACAUCCCUAAUUAAUGUCCCCCCUUUGUUCCUGAGGAAGAAGAAAAGGCAGUGCCAGUUAGUGAACAAGGCUCCUCCUGGGAUCUUGAGGGAUUAAGCAGGGAAAUUAAGUAAUCAGGUGACAACGGAAAUAACCGAGUGUCGGGCAGCAGUGCCCAUUUGACCCAGCUUAUUACUGUUUGGAGACUGGUGCUUUUGGACAAUUGCCUGGCUGCGCCUACGCUUUCCGUGGGGAUUACAGGCCACGUUUGCUCUCCGUGUGUUCUUAAAAGCAUUUAGUGGGAACCUUCCUGUUCUUGCAGGUCAGUGGGAAAGGCGGCCUGACUGGGCUUCAGCGAGCAGCCUUACCUGCCAGUGCCCUAUUAUGGGCUGUGUGUUUCUCGGUUCUGUCCCUGCUGAAGGCAGUCUCGAGACAGUUAAUAAUUGUGUUUAAGAUCUGAUGUCUGGUAUUUGCUUGAACUUGCUCCAGUCCAUAUCCAGAAACUGUGAGAAGCUCUGGAAUUAGAAGAGUGAGGUCCAUGUGGGGCUCAUUGUACUAUGGCCUUUAACAUGUUUGUUUGAAAAUUGUCAUGAGGUAAAAAUGUCAAUAGCACUUAAAAGGCUGGUAGGAACAAAAUACCAGAAGUAAGUGUGGGCAACGCCCCAGGUGACAGUAGCCCUUGUCAUUCCCUUUGGGGAGACCCAUCUGCAUGUGCUGGGCCCUGCCUGGGACCCUAGGGAUGCCCAGGCUGGCAGCUGCCGUGGACGCUGAGCUCCUCCCAGGGCAGGUGACCCACCCCUUGCUCUCUGAGGGCAUCUGUGCUGGUGUGUUUGGUGAGAGGUCAGGAAAUCAUCAGUUUGUUAUUUGCUCUUUCAUUCAAUAAAUAUUGCCAGGGUGCCAUUCCAGAUGCUGAGGGUCCAGAGCAAGGUUCUGGUGAGGUGCAGGAAACAGUGGGGUGCUGGUGUUGAACACGAACUUGAGUCCUAAGCAAGGCCAGGCCAGGUGGGGACAUGUGCCACGAAGAAAGUCCCAUGGGACCGUGUGGUGGCCAGGGAGGGUGGGGAAUUGGAGAAGAUCUGCUGAGGAGCCACUGUGAGAGCUGAGUCACCACAAGGAGACCCCACCACUGGCCUUGAGGGGAGCAGCUGUCCAAACGCAGGGCACUGCUGGGAGGGGUGCAGCCAUGGCAGGGUGGAAACAGCCGGCCACCUUGGUAGCUCUUCCUGCUCCACUGUUCCUCUCAAAUGCAUUGCUUCCCAAAGAUCAGCUCAUCUCCUUGGGUUCUGUUUUUCACUCAUUUGUCUUCCUAGCUCCUCUCUGAGCUUCCGCAGAUGUUCUGUGCUGACUUUUGAUUCGGGAGCCCUCUCCCGCUGAAAGGCGACCAGGCUGGCCACAAGGGGGAUUUGCGCGGAUUAGUGUGCUGCAUGUCUAGCACUGACUUCAUCGCUUUGGAAAUGAGUCAUGAGGCUGAAGUCAGG
rnacentral:lncRNA from 1 species